GACGAACGCUGGCGGCGUGCUUAACACAUGCAAGUCGAACGGAAAGGCCCUGCUUUUGUGGGGUGCUCGAGUGGCGAACGGGUGAGUAACACGUGAGUAACCUGCCCUUGACUUUGGGAUAACUUCAGGAAACUGGGGCUAAUACCGGAUAGGAGCUCCUGCUGCAUGGUGGGGGUUGGAAAGCUUCGGCGGUUGGGGAUGGACUCGCGGCUUAUCAGCUUGUUGGUGGGGGAGUGGCUGACCAAGGCUUUGACGGGUAGCCGGCCUGGGAGGGUGACCGGCCACAUUGGGACUGAGGUACGGCCCAGACUCCUACGGGAGGCAGCAGUGGGGAAUAUUGCACAAUGGGCGGAAGCCUGAUGCAACAACGCCGCGUGCGGGAUGACGGCCUUCGGGUUGUAAACCGCUUUCGCCUGUGACGAAGCGUGAGUGACGGUAAUGGGUAAAGAAGCACCGGCUAACUACGUC
rnacentral:rRNA from 1 species